UUUGCAAGCUGAGACUGCAUAUAUGAGACUUUCAAUGUUAGACGCUGCACUCAAUGGAGCUAGUGGCGUCACUGUGAGGGGUGGGGUUAUGUGUGAGCAUUAAAGCGCAGAUCCCAUCCGCUCCACUAGGCGGCAUCAGCGAGCUGCUCCUUGAGCCUGAACACCUUUGACAACAGCGACACCAGAUCAACACAGGUACACCGUUUUACUGGCGUCAAGUUGAGCUCCAGCAGAUGACAGCUCAGUGAUAGACUCAUAAUGUCAGUCAACAGCAGAUAUUACAGCAGCCCGACAACAAAGAAAAGCCAUACCAAGUGCAGAAAUGGAGAGUAACGCGACUCACCUUGAAGAUACACACGUGUGUCUGUUGUGUUUUUGCUGCAGAUCUUUGACCUGCGCUCAACAGCUGACGCUCCUCCACAUCCAGGCGGAUUCACAGCUCCAGGAAAGGUCAGCAGUCAAAUAUCAGUUCCAGCAGGAGUUCAGUAGCUGCGUGGUAAGAGCGCUGCCCCACGGCUUCAGGUGUUGCUGGUUUGAUCCCAGCCAGACUUCUGCAAUAUAAGUGAGUGAGUGUGAGGCGUGCCCGAAGAAGGGGAGAUAUCAGUUCGGUCUCCCCCUGGAGCUUCCAGAGACAUGUCCAGCAGGGGUUAUACUUCUUUACUGCCGGUCACUGAUCCUGUAGAGUCGACACACAAAAAAACACAUUAUUACACACGCUGAAUAUCUGAUCUAACAAUAGUGAAAUAUUAAAUAUGUAUGAAAUAUUGCACCCUUGUGUGUAGACGUUUCUGAAUUUCACCUUUGCACAUCUAAUCAAUUUAAAAUAAUUAGCCUCCUGUGGAGAUUAAUCUGAAUUACAUCACUGCAAAUCUAACUGAAUGAAUUUAAACUUAUUGCCCUCGUGUGGAGAUAUUUCUGAAUUACACCAUUGCAAGUCUAAUGAAUUUAAAAUAGAAUGCUGGAUUAUUUUCAUCUAAUCAACUGUUCACUUCACUUUUAGUAUCUUACUAACAGACUCUUUUUGCAUUUUUAAUUAACUCAGAAGUUAAUAUAAUAAUAGAAUUGGUUAAUAAACAAUUGCACGAUUCUGUAUAUCUAAUUAUACCUGAAUAUACUGCAAAAGUGUAACAAUAUGUAAGGUGAUGUAUAGACUUACCAGUAGAGCUCGAUAUAAUGGAUGAACUAGAACCGAUGGUCCAUAAACCAUGUGCACUACAAUGAGAAAAGAAUAAUUAUUCAUAAUCAUAACCACCAUCAUUGAAAUUUACAAAGCAAAACUCUUCAAGUAAGUUAUAAACACAUUACAACAUCUGAGGCGAUGCAAACAAAGAAUGAUUAUUAAAUGUUAGCUGUAUACUUUCUGUGUUUGUACUCACAUGCUAUUAUUCAGUCCUG